GUAUGAUUUUUAUACUAAAUUACUAAUAAUAUAGUAUAUUAGGCGCAAAUGGUAUAAUAUUUUAUAAUAUAUUAUAAAAAUUAUAAAAUAUGAGUAUAAAUUGCAUAUGUGUUACACUAUUUGUACAAAUAUUUACACUUUUGUGUAAACGUUGCACUAUUAUGAAAGAUGUUAUAUCAUUUAUAUGGUAUACUAAAAAUUAAAUUAUACUGUAUAUUAAAUAAAGUGUUAAAUUUCUUGAAAAGAAUAACUGCUAAGUCAAAAUUUAUCACACCUCAAUAAUCCCACAUCAGAUAGAAAUGGGGAUGUGAUUGGAUAUAUAAGAGACAUCGCCUGGUGAUCUUGGGCUGUGUGUGUGAUUGGACUGACGAGGAUAUCGGGGGGAGUCUAUCACACCCCAAUGAUCCCACAUCGAAUAGGAAUGUGGAUGUGAUUGGGUAUAUAAGAGACUUAGACACUAGUAGCUGGGCCCAACGAAUUAUUACUGAAAGAGUGCAACAUUAUCUUCCAAAUAGUGCAAUAUUUGUACAAAUAGUACAACAUAUACAUCGUUUAUAUACAUAUUGCAUGAUUUUUAUACUAAAUUACGAAUAAUAUAGUACUAUAUUACACAUAAAUAAUAUAAUAUAUUAAAAAAUUAUAAAAAUCAUGCAAUAUUUGUAUAAACGGUGCAUGCAUUAUUUGUACAAAUAUUUACAUUAUUUGUACAAAUAUUUACAUUAUUUGUACAAACGUUACACUACUAUGAAAGAAUAUUUGCAUCAUUUUGAUGGUAUAUUGUACUUUUUCUUUUUAAAAAUUAAAUUGCAUUGUAUAUUAAAUAAGAUGUUAAUUUUUUUAGAAAGGCCCUGCUAAGUCAUAAUUGCUUGUACCUUUCUCGAGAGAUGAAAAUGCUCAUUUAAGACAAAAUA
rnacentral:lncRNA from 1 species